UGAAAAGAAAACAUCUGAAAAGAUAGGGCAAAGAAGACCAUGGUUGUUAAAAAAUUAGGAUUAAAGAGAAAACAAAUAAUUUGCAUCAGGACAAAAGGAAAGAUAUUUUGAAGGCAUCUCAGGAAUUAUUAAACUUCAUCCUUCACUGGCUCAAGUCUGUAAAGGGUAAAGGUGCCAUAAGUUGGCCAGAUGUACCCCGCUACACCAUUGCACCAUGAUGUUUUUGACUUGAGGACGCCCAACCAUGGACUAAAGACUCUGAAACUUGCUUAAAGUUGUCAGAUCUGCUGUUUUCUUCUUGUGUCAAAUGCUGGACUGAAGACUUAGAAGACUUAGAAACUUCAGAAUCCUGUGUAUAAAAAGAAUUUCAAAA